GACGUAGGGCGCAAGCGUUGUCCGGAUUUAUUGGGCGUAAAGGGCUCGUAGGCGGUUUGUCGCGUCGGGAGUGAAAACCCAGGGCUUAACCCUGGGCUGGCUUCCGAUACGGGCAGACUAGAGGUAUGCAGGGGAGAACGGAAUUCCUGGUGUAGCGGUGAAAUGCGCAGAUAUCAGGAGGAACACCGGUGGCGAAGGCGGUUCUCUGGGCAUUACCUGACGCUGAGGAGCGAAAGUGUGGGGAGCGAACAGG
rnacentral:rRNA from 1 species